CCCAAAUAGUGCAAUAUGCUUAAAACUGAAGAAAUAAUAAAAAGUUGAAAUAAAACUCACAUUUGCCAGAGCGUAAAACUCGCUCCGGUAUAGAAGGCGUACAGCGGUUUGAUCCCUGCUUGUAGGAUGUACGGUGAGCUUCCUCCAUUGACGGUGUGUCCAGUACUCAGAUAAAAAGAGACAGCCAAUAGUGUACACUGAGUACUGACAUAAAAUAACA